GACGCCCAGUGAAAUUUAAAUUUCAAAUAAGCAAUGAAAUAUUUUUUUAGCAUAAGUAUGUCUCAUGCAAUAUUUGGGGCAUACUUAUACUAAAAAAAUCAUUUGUCAUCUCUCUGCAAUUCAGAUUUCACUGAAUAUCCCUUAUUUU
rnacentral:miRNA from 1 species